UACGGAGGGGGCUAGCGUUGUUCGGAAUUACUGGGCGUAAAGCGCACGUAGGCGGCUUUGUAAGUUAGAGGUGAAAGCCCGGAGCUCAACUCCGGAAUUGCCUUUAAGACUGCAUCGCUAGAACGCCGGAGAGGUGAGUGGAAUUCCGAGUGUAGAGGUGAAAUUCGUAGAUAUUCGGAAGAACACCAGUGGCGAAGGCGACUCACUGGACGACUGUUGACGCUGAGGUGCGAAAGCGUGGGGAGCAAACAGG
rnacentral:rRNA from 1 species